AUGCGAUAAGUAAUAUGAAUUGCAGAUAUUCGUGAAUCAUCGAAUCUUUGAACGCACAUUGCGCCCUUUGGUAUUCCAAAGGGCAUGCCUGUUUGAGCGUCAUUUCUCCCUCAAACCCUCGGGUUUGGUGUUGAGCGAUACGCUGGGUUUGCUUGAAAGAAAGGCGGAGUAUAAACUAAUGGAUAGGUUUUUUCCACUCAUUGGUACAAACUCCAAAACUUCUUCCAAAUUCGACCUCAAAUCAGGUAGGACUACCCGCUGAACUUAAGCAUAUCAAUAAGCGGAGGAAAAGAAACCAACAGGGAUUGCCUUAGUAGCGGCGAGUGAAGCGGCAAAAGCUCAAAUUUGAAAUCUGGCACUUUCAGUGUCCGAGUUGUAAUUUGAAGAAGGUAUCUUUGGGUCUGGCUCUUGUCUAUGUUUCUUGGAACAGAACGUCACAGAGGGUGAGAAUCCCGUGCGAUGAGAUGUCCCAGACCUAUGUAAAGUUCCUUCGAAGAGUCGAGUUGUUUGGGAAUGCAGCUCUAAGUGGGUGGUAAAUUCCAUCUAAAGCUAAAUAUUGGCGAGAGACCGAUAGCGAACAAGUACAGUGAUGGAAAGAUGAAAAGAACUUUGAAAAGAGAGUGAAAAAGUACGUGAAAUUGUUGAAAGGGAAGGGCUUGAGAUCAGACUUGGUAUUUUGUAUGUUACUCUCUCGGGGGUGGCCUCUACAGUUUACCGGGCCAGCAUCAGUUUGAGCGGUAGGAUAAGUGCAAAGAAAUGUGGCACUGCUUCGGUAGUGUGUUAUAGUCUUUGUCGAUACUGCCAGCUUAGACUGAGGACUGC
rnacentral:rRNA from 1 species